UACGUAGGGUGCGAGCGUUAAUCGGAUUUACUGGGCGUAAAGCGUGCGCAGGCGGCCCGUUAAGACAGGUGUGAAAUCCCUGGGCUCAACCUAGGAAUUGCGCUUGUGACUGGCGGGCUCGAGUACGGUAGAGGGGGGUGGAAUUCCUGGUGUAGCAGUGAAAUGCGUAGAGAUCAGGAGGAACACCGAUGGCGAAGACAGCCCCCUGGGCCUGUACUGACGCUCAUGCACGAAAGCGUGGGGAGCAAACAGG
rnacentral:rRNA from 1 species